rnacentral:rRNA from 1 species
AGCGAACGCUGGCGGCGUACUUAACACAUGCAAGUCGAACGGGGAUCUUCGGUGUAGCAAUACAUCGGCGGUCCUAGUGGCGCACGGGUGAGUAACACGUGGGUAACCUGUCCUUGAGUUCGGGAUACCCUUUCGAAAGGAAGGCUAAUACCGGAUACGUUCCUCGGAUUGCGAAAUCUGGGGAGGAAAGGUGGCGAAAGCUACCGCUCUUGGAGGGGCUCGCGGCCUAUCAGCUAGUUGGUGAGGUAACGGCUCACCAAGGCUAUGACGGGUAGCUGGUCUGAGAGGACGACCAGCCACACGGGAACUGAGACACGGUCCCGACUCCUACGGGUGGCAG